rnacentral:rRNA from 1 species
UACGGAGGGUGCGAGCGUUGUCCGGAAUCAUUGGGCGUAAAGGGCGCGUAGGUGGCCUGGUCAGUUCGUGGUGAAAGCGCGGGGCUCAACUCCGCGUCGGCCAUGAAUACUGCUGGGCUGGAGCACUGUAGAGGCAGGCGGAAUUCCGGGUGUAGCGGUGGAAUGCGUAGAGAUCCGGAAGAACACCGGUGGCGAAGGCGGCCUGCUGGGCAGUGGCUGACACUGAGGCGCGGACAGCGUGGGGAGCAAACAGG